rnacentral:lncRNA from 10 species
AAACUUCUGAAUGUUUGUAACCACAGAUUGAUGAUUUGGUUACAAAGACUCUCUGUUGGUGAUGGUUUCUGAGAACUGGAAGAUGGAGUCUAGCUCUGUUGCCCAGGCUGGAGUAUAAUGGCACGAUCUCGGCUCACUGUAACCUCCGCCUCCCGGGUUCAAGCGAUUCUUUUGCCUCAGCCUCCCAAGUAGCUGGGAGUACAGGCGCCCAACACCACGCCUAGCCAAUUUUUGUAUUAUAGAGAUGGGGUUUCACUGUGUUAACCAGAAUGGUCUUGAUCUCCUGACCUCGUGAUCCACCUGCCUCGGCCUCCCAAAGUGCUGGGAUUACAGGCGUGAGCCACUGCACCCGGCCAAGUACUUACCUUUGUAAGAAAUCAUAAGAUUCUCAUUUUUUUCUCCAUUAACUACAUAAAGCAGGACAAUGGUUGGCACCAUUGCUUCCUCACUGAACUGUGGAUGGGUCUCAGCAUGCAAAGGAAGUAGAAAGUGAAUGGGAGGACGGCGGCUGUUGCUCAGAAGUUCCUUCCAUAAUUUGAUUUAUUAACACUAUUUGGGUUGUUCAUGGCUUGGUUUUCCCUCCCUUUUUCCUCCAGUGAACGGUGACUUGACAGAGGUACAUAGGAGGCUACUUGUUCUCUUGUUGGCUGCUUGUAUUUGCUUUCUGGAAGG